CAUGGGGUAGGGCAGAGUAGG
rnacentral:miRNA from 1 species